rnacentral:rRNA from 56 species
ACGGGUGAGUAACGCGUGGGAAUCUACCUAGUUCUACGGAACAACAGAGGGAAACUUCUGCUAAUACCGUAUACGCCCUACGGGGGAAAGAUUUAUCGGAAUUAGAUGAGCCCGCGUAAGAUUAGCUAGUUGGUGGGGUAAUGGCCUACCAAGGCGACGAUCUUUAGCUGGUCUGAGAGGAUGAUCAGCCACACUGGGACUGAGACACGGCCCAGACUCCUACGGGAGGCAGCAGUGGGGAAUAUUGGACAAUGGGCGCAAGCCUGAUCCAGCCAUGCCGCGUGAGUGAUGAAGGCCUUAGGGUUGUAAAGCUCUUUCAGUGGGGAAGAUAAUGACGGUACCCACAGAAGAAGCCCCGGCUAACUUCGUGCCAGCAGCCGCGGUAAUACGAAGGGGGCUAGCGUUGUUCGGAUUUACUGGGCGUAAAGCGCACGUAGGCGGAUUGGUCAGUUAGAGGUGAAAUCCCGAAGCUCAACUUCGGAACUGCCUUUAAUACUGCCAAUCUAGAGUCCGGAAGAGGUGAGUGGAACUCCUAGUGUAGAGGUGGAAUUCGUAGA